CCUACGGGUGGCAGCAGUGAGGAAUAUUGGUCAAUGGACGAGAGUCUGAACCAGCCAAGUAGCGUGAAGGAUGACUGCCCUAUGGGUUGUAAACUUCUUUUAUAUGGGAAUAAAAUGUUCCACGUGUGGGAUUUUGUAUGUACCAUAUGAAUAAGGAUCGGCUAACUCCGUGCCAGCAGCCGCGGUAAUACGGAGGAUCCGAGCGUUAUCCGGAUUUAUUGGGUUUAAAGGGAGCGUAGGUGGAUUGUUAAGUCAGUUGUGAAAGUUUGCGGCCCAACCGUAAAAUUGCAGUUGAAACUGGCAGUCUUGAGUACAGUAGAGGUGGGCGGAAUUCGUGGUGUAGCGGUGAAAUGCUUAGAUAUCACGAAGAACUCCGAUUGCGAAGGCAGUUCACUGGACUGCAACUGACACUGAGGCUCGAAAGUGUGGGUAUCAAACAGGAUUAGAUACCCGAGUAGUC
rnacentral:rRNA from 1 species